rnacentral:tRNA from 1 species
GAGCUGGAGCUCAGUGGUAGAGUGCUUGCUGAGCACAUGUGAGGCCCUGGGUUCGAUUCUCAGCACCUCA